UACGUAGGGCGCAAGCGUUAUCCGGAAUUAUUGGGCGUAAAGAGCUCGUAGGUGGUUUGUCGCGUUGUCCGUGAAAACUCACAACUCAAUUGUGGGCGUGCGGGCGAUACGGGCAGACUGGAGUACUGCAGGGGAGACUGGAAUUCCUGGUGUAGCGGUGGAAUGCGCAGAUAUCAGGAGGAACACCGGUGGCGAAGGCGGGUCUCUGGGCUGAUACUGACGCUGAGGAGCGAAAGCGUGGGGAGCGAACAGG
rnacentral:rRNA from 1 species